rnacentral:lncRNA from 1 species
AUCUGGAUGAGGUGGGAGGAAGCUGACUAUCUCUAACCCGUGGACAUUUGAAAGGUUUUCAGUGGAUUCUCUGUUUGCUCACAAAGUCAAGAGAGGAAAGAAGAAAACCUUCCUGUUCCACACACACGCUGAUGACUGGCAGAUGGAAAACCUAUUUUCAAGUGAACUUGGAGCAUGGGCACUCUCUUGGAGAGAAGGAAUAAAAAGAGAGAACUGCAAAAAAAGUUUGAAGAGCCCUGUGCUCCUGAAGGGCUGCCUGCCCUUCAUUUUAGCAGCACACGAGAACCGUGAGAGGAAGACAGUUCCAGGCUUUGGACCAAAUAAAGACAUUUGCUGA